rnacentral:lncRNA from 1 species
UCAAAUGUUGAUAUGGCUAUGCCUUCAUGGAAGGUGGUAAUGCUUGCCCCAAUGUCAAUUCCAAUCGUACAUAAACUAAACCCUAUCAACUAAUCACUAAACCCUACACGGAAAUAUAAACCCUAAUUCAAUGUCAACUCCAAUCUUUCAUAAACUAAACCCUCGCCACUAAUACUAAAUCCUACAUGGAAAUAUAAACCCUAAUCUAAUGCCCCAACUCUAAUGUCAACCCCAAUCUUUCAUAAAUUAAAUCCAAAUUUCGAAAUACAAGUAACAUGCAUUUCCAUUCUACAUGAGCAUAUAAAAUAGAAAAGGUGAAUAUAUAGUUGCUAUCUAAAGAUCAUCUUAAUAUAUUUCUCAAAUGUUGAUAUGGAUAUAUCUCUUAUGAAAAAUGGUAAUGUUUGCCCCAAUGUAAUUGUACAUAAACUAAACCAUAUCAACUAAUCCCAGAAAUAUAAACCCUAAUCCAAAGUUAACCCCAAUCUUUUAUAAACGAAACUCUAACCACUAAUUACUAAACCCUACAUGGAAAUAUAAACCCUAAUCUAAUAUGAACCCCAAUCUUUCAUAAACUAAACCCAAAUUUCAAAAUUUUAUCAUAUAGAAUAGAAA